CCUUGUACACACCGCCCGUCAAGUCAUGGGAGCUGGGGGCACCCGAAGUCCGCUUAGCUAACCGCAAGGGGGCGGCGGCCGACGGUGAGCUCGGUGACUGGGACU
rnacentral:rRNA from 1 species